AUUUGCGUCUGUGUCGACAUGCUGAUACGAGUUCAUUCUUGGAGUUUAGUGUGCUGGUUUCAGUUGUUUCCUCUUGUGACGUUCGAUAUCACCAACGAUGGCGCGCAAGGCGAUUUUCUCGCUGCUAUUGGCCGCCCUGCCGAUUAUAACCUACUAAGCACAUUUGUGAACGAGUUUAAGCUACAGGGCCAACCCAAGUACGAGAUAGAAAGCUUCAAAUUGUCCUCUAUAAUAGGAGACACGGUUACGCCUAGGCAAUUUCUGGAGUACAACAAUUUUAUGCGAAGCGAUCAUGCCACGUUCUAGAUGAAUGGAAUUCCUGCCAUUUUCAUCACUGACACCGGACAACACCGCGUGUGCUAUGACGCUGCUUUGUUUAUGGCUGUUGCUGUUGCCAUUCUACUGGGAUAAAGUCAAGACACCCACCCCCUAAAAGCAAAACAACAACAACAAAAAACAAAAAAACAAAAACAAUGUCCAUAAUGUUUCCAGACUGAAGACGCCAGUGAUGUUUUCUAACAAUAUGGGUUGAUUUUUGGAAAGAGUAGUCAGCUAGAUAAUAAAAGCUGUAAUAUUUGUGACGGAAACGUUA